GGGUUAAAGCCACAUUGUGGGCUGAGGAAGCCAUGCCCCUUUCUCCCUACUGGGCAUGCUCCAGCUGUACCAGUAUAAAAGAAAGCAGCCCAGCUCAGUCAGGAGGAGAUGCUGGUAGGGGAAGGUUAUGUGUUGGGAGUGCUUGCUGAGACUGGUGUCCAGCCUGUGCCAGAAGGGAGUGGAGAUGUGGACCACAGCCUUGGACCCCAGCAGCACAUGGAGCCUCAGGGAGUGGUCGGUGCUGGGGAACUAAGAGAUCCCAAAGCCUCCUGGACUACAAUGCCUGAGACUACGGUAGGAUGUGACCCAGGGGCAGUGCUGGAGUGGUAUGUCCUGCUGAGAAUCUUUCCUUUCUUGGGUCAUGGUUCAAGCAGCGAUGCCUACACCAGAUGUCAUGGAUCUCUCGUGAUGGCAUCACUCGGAAGGAGUUGGACUGCAUCAUUACAGGAGGCAAAGAGAUGCCUAUUGUGUGUCGAGUAUAUCGUGGUGUGGAAUGCGUGGCGAACACAGAUCACCAUCUAGUCGCCCAUAUGGUGUUUAUGCUCCAGUGAGCAGGAUUUCUUUUUGAAUUUCAGGUCAUUUAAUGGCUAAUGCCCAGGAGGAAAGGAAGAGAAGUACCAGCCCCCAGCUAUCUUAGAGACCCUCACAAGCAACUCCAAAACCCAGAAGAACAGGGGGAGAAGAUCCAACUCCUUUCCCGUCCCAACAAUUGCCAAUAUAGAUCUCAACUGCAAGCAGAUAGAGGAGCCUGUCCACAUGCCCUCCUAGAGACCCUCCACAACAAGAGGGGCCACACCUUAAGAGAACUCAGCUUCUACACACACACGUUCUCUUUCCCAAAGGGUGAACAGAUUAUCUUAGUCUCCAGUUUUGGAAUCUUUCUAUACAGCUGGACUCUGUUCCCUAAGAAAGCAGGCAGACUAUUCACCAUUCCAGCCCUGCACUUCUCUUACUGUGGCACUGUGACUGCAGAGCAUGAGCCUGGAAACCCUGCAGGAAGGGUCCUGGAGCCUGUUGAAAUAUUCAGGAUAACCCAGUAUUACCCACUAGAUGGCACAACAGUGACGUUAUACUGCUCUCCUCUGCUAGCUGAAGAUCUAGGGCUUCAUUUUGAUCUCACAUUGGUUUUACACCAAUAUAACUGUACUGAAAUCAGUACACUCACUCCUGAUUCACAGACUCAGCUGAGAUCAGAACCCCUUUCUCUCAAUGCAAUAUACCUACCAGUAUUUUGUUUUGGAUUUGUAUUUUUGAUCAAAAAUGUCCUUUUUCAGAGAAGAGACUUUGGAACUUGAGGGACAAUUUACUUUGAUUCACAGCAUAUGGACAGCUCUGUCUACUUUUAACGUCUUCUUAUGGUAGUGUGUAAUGCUUGUGAUAUAAAGCAGAGGUUCCCAAACUGUGGUUUCCAGGUUGUUGGUGGCCCAUGGAGAUCUUCCAAGUGAGCGCAUGGUGCUGGCUUCUCCUCAUCUCCAGCAGCUAUUUUAUGUUACAAGACCAAUAAAAAUACAUGAAAUAUUUAA